UACGGAGGGAGCUAGCGUUGUUCGGAAUUACUGGGCGUAAAGCGCGCGUAGGCGGCUUUGUAAGUUAGAGGUGAAAGCCCGGAGCUCAACUCCGGAACUGCCUUUAAAACUGCAUCGCUUGAAUCCAGGAGAGGUGAGUGGAAUUCCGAGUGUAGAGGUGAAAUUCGUAGAUAUUCGGAAGAACACCGGUGGCGAAGGCGGCUCACUGGACUGGUAUUGACGCUGAGGUGCGAAAGCGUGGGGAGCAAACAGG
rnacentral:rRNA from 1 species